UACGUAGGUGGCAAGCGUUGUCCGGAAUUAUUGGGCGUAAAGCGCGCGCAGGCGGUCCUUUAAGUCUGAUGUGAAAGCCCACGGCUCAACCGUGGAGGGUCAUUGGAAACUGGGGGACUUGAGUACAGAAGAGAAGAGUGGAAUUCCACGUGUAGCGGUGAAAUGCGUAGAGAUGUGGAGGAACACCAAUGGCGAAGGCGACUCUUUGGUCUGUAACUGACGCUGAGGCGCGAAAGCGUGGGGAGCAAACAGG
rnacentral:rRNA from 1 species